rnacentral:rRNA from 1 species
ACGGAAGGCAGCAGUGGGGAAUAUUGCACAAUGGGGGAAACCCUGAUGCAGCGACGCCGCGUGGGUGAAGAAGUUUUUCGGAAUGUAAAGCCCUAUCAGCAGGGAAGAUAAUGACGGUACCUGACUAAGAAGCCCCGGCUAACUACGUGCCAGCAGCCGCGGUAAUACGUAGGGGGCAAGCGUUAUCCGGAUUUACUGGGUGUAAAGGGAGCGUAGACGGAAUAGCAAGUCUGAAGUGAAAUGUAGGGGCUCAACCCCUGAACUGCUUUGGAAACUGUUGAUCUUGAGUGCCGGAGGGGCAGGCGGAAUUCCUGGUGUAGCGGUGAAAUGCGUAGAUAUCAGGAAGAACACCGGUGGCGAAGGCGGCCUGCUGGACGGUAACUGACGUUGAGGCUCGAAAGCGUGGGGAGCAAACAGGAUUAGAUACCCUGGUA